CUAGAGAAAAGCUGGAUCGAGAGCUCACAACCUAUCGGUUGUCACAAGCGGCACAAGCGGAUGGGUCUGUAGCUCAGUCGGUUAGAGCAUCGUCUUGAUAAGGCGAGGGUCGUUGGUUCGAUUCCAACCAGACCCACCAGCGUAUCGGCGGAAGGCGGCGGAGAGUGAUUGAGGCGCCUGGCGGCAUGCUGGGAGGUGUUGUCACCCGGAACCCGGGGGAUUAGCUCAGCUGGGAGAGCACCUGCUUUGCAAGCAGGGGGUCGUCGGUUCGAUCCCGUCAUCCUCCACCACCCGCAACUUGUGAGAUGUCAGGCCUGAAGAGUUUGUAGACUUUUCAGGCCUGACCCCUUACGGGGCUCGUGCUCUUUAACAAAAUGGAAGAAGGUAGUAUCACCGGUUAAACGCAGUCGUUUUGAUGCGUGGAGAGGCUGGUGAUACGGUUGUGAUUGCAUCGAUUUCCCUGUUGAUUCAGGGAGAGCACAAAGGAGUUGCCUGUAGCUUCGAGGUCUCGCAAGAGAGCUUAAGGUUAUAG
rnacentral:tRNA from 1 species